rnacentral:rRNA from 1 species
GUAAGGAAUAUUGGACAAUGGACGCAAGUCUGAUCCAGCCAUGCCGCGUGAAGGAUUAAGGUCCUCUGGAUUGUAAACUUCUUUUAUAAGGGACGAAAAAAGGCUUUUCUAAGUCGUCUGACGGUACCUUAUGAAUAAGCACCGGCUAACUCCGUGCCAGCAGCCGCGGUAAUACGGAGGGUGCAAGCGUUAUCCGGAUUCACUGGGUUUAAAGGGUGCGUAGGCGGGCAGGUAAGUCAGUGGUGAAAUCCUAGAGCUUAACUCUAGAACUGCCAUUGAUACUAUCUGUCUUGAAUAUUGUGGAGGUAAGCGGAAUAUGUCAUGUAGCGGUUAAAUGCUUCGAUAUGACAUAGAACACCUAUUGCGAAGGCAGCUUACUACGCAUAUAUUGACGCUGAGGCACGAAAGCGUGGGGAUCAAACAGGAUUAGAAACCCUUGUAGUCC